rnacentral:rRNA from 1 species
UUAAGGGGGUUUCCGGUGUGAAUUGCAGAAUCCCGGGAACCCUUGAGUUUUUGACGCAAGUUGCGCCCGAAGCCCUUAGGCUGAGGGCACGUCUGCCUGGGUGUCA